AAUUUUUGAGGAAACCAACAGUAAACUGUAAGUAUACUAAGAAUUAAAUCAUUCCCUCAAAACUA
rnacentral:tRNA from 1 species